rnacentral:lncRNA from 1 species
GAUCAUUGCAUAUUAAUUAUUAUUGAUACAACAAAUCUUGUUAUUCAAAAUAUUCCCAUUCUUCCUUCAAAUUGUAUGUAGAAUAAAGGUGGAUGCCAAGGUGACCCUGAAAAAUGACAGCGAAAUAAAAAACAGAAUAUCCAAAAAAAGAAAGAAAAUACAAAUAGUCCUCAAAAUGCCACACAGAAAACUAGAAUUGAGCAUCAAACAUUAACUAAAUGGAAACUCUUGCGCUUUAAAUAGACCAGCAAUGACGGUUCCAGCAAGUGAUACUCGUAACUAAAAAGCAUUAAUAUUUUAAGAAUAAGAAACAUCUUGGAAUUUUAGUCUACCGACUAAUACAAUUUUCAUAUCCUUUAAAAACUAUUAUUCCCCGCAACUAAUCUAAACCUGAAUAAAAAGGAAUUAUAAAUAUUACAAAUAUUGUCAGAACAAAAUCAUUUUGCAUAACUUAUAAAUCAUUCCAUGUUCACUAUAA